rnacentral:rRNA from 1 species
UUUUCCUACGGGGGGCAGCAGUGGGGAAUAUUGCACAAUGGGGGAAACCCUGAUGCAGCGACGCCGCGUGAGUGAAGAAGUAUUUCGGUAUGUAAAGCUCUAUCAGCAGGAACGAGACAAGACGGUACCUGACUAAGAAGCCCCGGCUAACUACGUGCCAGCAGCCGCGGUAAUACGUAGGGGGCAAGCGUUAUCCGGAAUCACUGGGUGUAAAGGGAGCGUAGACGGCUGAGCAAGCCUGAAGUGAAAGGCGGGGGCCCAACCCCCGGCCUGCUUUGGGAACUGUACGGCUGGAGUGCAGGGGG